AUUGACUUCAUUGACUUCAUUGACUUCAUUGAGAGGUAGAAAGCAGAGGGAAGAAUCCCUUGUCAGCUCCUUCACUUCCCGGACGUUGAAGGGAUGCUACCAAGCAUCACCUUUCAGACUUUAAACACUGCGUCAAUACUUCUCUUGAAACUUUCCUCUGACUGGGCUGUGAUACAUGAUUCGGGUAGGCGGUUCCAGCUAUUAACUACACGGGUAGAGAGAGUGGCGUCACCAUGGAUGCGUAACCUCCUCGGUCUUCACCAAGUUCGCCUCGGAGAAUGCGCCGGGUAUAUAUCAGAUCUCCUCGGUGACGACGGUAGGCCAGAGAGAAGAGAUUCAGCUGUUCCAGUCGAUCUUCGUAGGAAAGCUGGUGAAGUUUUGCAACUGUUUUCGUACCGCGACGUUGAACUCGCUCCAGCAUAUCGGAUUCGUACUUGGUCAAUGGGAAUACUGCAGGCA